UGGGUAACCUGCCUCAAAGAGGGGAAUAGCCUCCCGAAAGGGAGAUUAAUACCGCAUAAUAUGUUUAAGUCGCAUGACUUUAACAUCAAAGGAUUUUCUUUUAGAAAUUCCACUUUGAGAUGGACCCGCGGCGCAUUAGCUAGUUGGUGAGGUAACGGCUCACCAAGGCAACGAUGCGUAGCCGACCUGGGGAGGUGAUCAGCCACAUUGGAACUGAGACACGGUCCAGACUCCGUAGGGAGG
rnacentral:rRNA from 1 species